CAGCAUAGUGAAUUGCUCAAAGGCAAAAAAUUUUUUUUUAAGUUCAUUAGACCACAUUCAUUCUGUGUCAGAAACCUAUGCUGUGUCAACUAUUUAAUCACAAUACAAAUUUAGAGCUGAAUCCAGCUUGAAUGUUGUGUCCACACUUGCCCCAACCGUUCAGGGUUCCACCUCUGCGGUCGUAUAAAGCUGCGCCCUGCGGAG
rnacentral:lncRNA from 1 species